UCAAGCUUAAAAGACAAGAAGGGUAUGGCUUGCUUAUUGCUUUAUAUACCUGUUAAAGUUUAACAAAAAUGUUCUUUCUUCUUUCUACCAAGCCAAACUGGCAAGACACAGUUAAAAAUGGGAUAAUCUUAGCAUGUUGGUCUGAUCACCUAAUCAGGAUCUGUCAAAAGCAAAAUUGGAUGAAUACAUUGCUAUUGCCAAAGAGAAACAUGGCUACAACAUGGAACAGGCUCUCCCACAUCAAGUGUUUCAGGCCCUGAAAACUACAUCUCACCUGCUGAACUGCUCUCUGUCCCGGUGCCUGUGCCCUGUUAGUCCUCACCAUGAGCCAUCAAGGUUCUCAUCCUUAUUUUGUAGAUGAAAAGCCUCCUUUUGAGCACCUUCAAGAACUAGCAGGUCCUGGGCUCCAUGCCCUGGUGCUCUGGGCGUGGCUGCACAAAGAAUGAACAGAAACUUGGGCUCCAGGUGAUUGAUAUAUGGAUUCCUUUUGCCUUUUAGCUACUGCCCUAUGUGCCCUGCUAAGCCUGAACCUUCUCUUACAACCACUAAUGUGAUUCUCUUGGAACUGGCUGCAGUGUCAGAGAGAUUAAGCAACUUACCCAAGAGCAGCCAGCCAAUGAGAGGGAGCUGGGAAUUGAAGCUGUGUCUCCUAGCUCCAGGGCCUGUGUACUGUACUCUGCAUUCUGCUAUGCCUCCCCUCCAGUUGAUAACAAUCACUGUUAACCCGGAACGGCCAUUUCAUGCAGGGUGCUGCUGGUCAGGCCCUAACAAGGCCAGAGGAGCCUACGUGCUGACAUCUGGAGAUUGUUUAUUCACUUCCAAGCUCUCCUGUCACUGAUAAGUUGGGGAACUGGACUCAUGGCACCAGUCAAGGACCCAGGGCAUUCUGUGCACCCAGUGAAGUAUUAACUGACUAUAAAUUUAGUCUAACUAGAAAUGCUUUGAAGACAUAGGCACUUUGAAAGCAAGAGAUAUUUUGAUUUCAUAAUCUAUAAAGGAGGGAGGAAUCUGUUUGAUAUAUACUGUGAUGAUUAAUAACACUGCUGAUGUA